ACAAAAGACAAGAAGGAUAUUUUAAAGGCAACUUUUUAUUGAUUUCUUUAUUGGCAAAUGCUUUGAAUAAGGUUGCAGCAAUGCGUCUAUGUACACCCCUCCGAACAGUGACACGUCAGAAAGCCUAAAGAAAAACACACUUUGUAACACAGCUCGAUUAUAUGAUCGCACAGUUCUUUUGUUUUCCUUCAAAACGUUCGCUUAUUUUCAGUUUUUGGUUCGGGAAACAUCUACAAAACGUCUACAUUAAACAAUGCAAUUAAGAUAUACAUACAUUUAUAAAAACAACGGUUAAAACAUGCAGGGUGUGUAGUGCAUCACAACCUUUUGUAAAGUAUUUUCAAAGAAAGGCAGACGGACACACGGACAGAGAGGAGAGGAGGGUUGAUGAUAAUAAUAAUGGUUAUAUAGAUAUACAGUCAUUUCCUAAAAAAACCUCUAUGCCAACUCUCUUAUAUUGGUUUUAAUUUAUGUGCAAAAGAAGCUUGUUCAUGUCCAACGUUAAAUACAUUUUGUUAUGUCUAAUGCUCAAGUCUAUGCUACCAAGCUGUGAGGAGCUCAAUAUACAAAAUGUGAUAAUUAUACUAUUUAAGUUUCACUGCCCAAGCCUUUAAUGAUCAUUAAAUGACUCACUUCCUGUGCUGUAGUAGUGCUCUUUGACCCUUUAUUGUCCUGUGAUGCUAACGCUAACCGAGCUAACAGAGUGGUGCAGGGAUGACGUAUUUUUUUAAUCCGACCCUGAAGGCAGCAUCUCCCUGGUUCCCUCUGCUAAAAGCCAAUGGGAUUCCUCCAUUGGAUUUGGGUCUGUGGUAAUCAAAACAUUUAUGAAAAGCUAUAAAGGAACUACAGCACGGUCACAUGACUUCACGCUAAGCUAACGGCGGCUAAUGUUGGGCGUGAUGACGUUUAGUCAGGCGAGUCGUGAUGCUAACAGGCGAGUGCUAACAGGCGACUCGUCAUGCUAACAGGCGAGUCGUGUGAUGCUAACAGGCGAGUCGGGUGAUGCUAACAGGCGAGUCGGGUGAUGCUAACAGGUGAGUCGUGUGAUGCUAACAGGUGAGUCAGGUGAUGCUAACAGGCGAGUCGUGUGAUGCUAACAGGCGAGUCGUGAUGCUAACCAGCGAGUCGUGAUGCUAACAGGUGAGUCGUGAUGCUAACAGGCGAGUCGUGUGAUGCUAACAGACGAGUCGUGUGAUGCUAACAGGUGAGUCGUGAUGCUAACCGGCGAGUCGUGAUGCUAACAGGCGAGUCGUGAUGCUAACAGGUGACUCAGGUGAUGCUAACAGAUGAGUCGUGAUGCUAACAGGCGAGUCGUGUGAUGCUAACAGACGAGUCGUGUGAUGCUAACAGGUGAGUCGUGAUGCUAACAGGCGAGUCGUGAUACUAACAGGUGACUCAGGUGAUGCUAACAGGCGAGUCGUGAUGCUAACAGGCGAGUCGUGAUACUAACAGGUGACUCAGGUGAUGCUAACCAGCGAGUCGUGAUGCUAACCAGCGAGUCGUGAUGCUAACAGGCGAGUCGUGAUGCUAACAGGCGACAGUUGUGUUGUGAUGCUAACAGGCGAGUCGUGAUGCUAACAGGUGAGUCAGGUGAUGCUAACAGGUGAGUCAGGUGAUGCUAACAAGUGAGUCAGGUGAUGCUAACAGGUGUGUUGUGCUUCAGUCUGUUACUCAGAGACAGGAUGUAGCAGCGUCUCUUUUAGUGAUGCUAAUGCUAAUGCCAACUUCCCUUCUGUGACGUUUACAGGAAGUGGUAGUGUUGUGUUACCCUGCGGGGGCGUGACGGGAUAAAUAUUGCACAUGUAAGAUUAAUUAUUAAAGUAAUUAAAUGUCCCAGGAUUACAGUCGUCGUUAGCCUGAUUUUCAGCUUCAGGCCGACGGUCAAAUGUACGAUUAAAAAGAAACAAACUACACAACAAAACUACGGCUAAUGUCUCGAACAAAAGGCAAUGAUUAAAACACUAAAAAGCGAGUU